AGUCUUUUGGUUUUUUAUAAAAGAUUAUUUCUGCUCAAUGAUUUUAAAUAGCCGCGGUAUUUUGACCGUGCAAAGGUAGCAUAAUCAUUUGCUUUAUAAUUGAGGGCUAGCAUGAAUGGAAUUACAAAACAAAAGCUUUAUUUUUUAAAGGGUAAUAAUUUGUUUUUUAAGUGAAGAAACUUAAGUGUUUGUGUAGGACAAGAAGACCCUUUUGAGCUUUAUUAUUUCUUUAGGUUUUUCCUUAAAUUUAAUUUGGUUGGGGCGACCUAGGAAGAUUAAAUCUUCCUUUUAAAUUUUGAUCCAAGAUUUUUGAUUAACAGAAUAAGUUACCAAAGGGAUAACAGCGUAAUUUUUUUUGAGAGUUCUUAUUAAAAAUUAAAAUUGCGACCUCGAUGUUGACUUAUAGUUUCCUUUUGGUGUAGCCGCUAAUAAGGUUGGUCUGUUCGACCAUUAAAACUUU
rnacentral:rRNA from 1 species